rnacentral:misc_RNA from 1 species
AAAAAAAAAAAAAAAAUCCUGCAUAAAACCAAUGUUAGUGCACAAGAUAAUACCAAUACUUUAUAACUCUUAUAGGCAAUACCUGUGUGUUCCAUCUAAGAUAUCAACCACUCAUCUACACUGGAGGUAUUUCCUCCAUGCUCCAUUAUCUUCUUUGUCUAUACCAUUCUGAGUGGCAGUAAAAACCAACCAUAUCAUUGCCAAUUUUCAGCCCAAGAGUUUGAUAGAGUAUGUUUAGAGACCCUAAGAUGUUUCAACAAGUAUACUUUUAUUUUGAACUGGAAAAAUAGAUGAUUCUCAUGCAAAUAGUACAGAUAGACCACAAUACAUUGUGUUUACAACCACAUUGAAUGUCUUGUGUUAUGGUAAUCGGCAGGAUAUUAUAAAUGGAGAGAGAACUGGAAGAAAGAAACUUUUCUCACAAUUGCAGGACAAGCAAAACCAAUGUCUGUUCAAGUGCAGUACAAAAAUGGUACCAAAUUGAAAAUUUGAAACCAAAUUUAAUAGUCACUUUCCUGCACACGAAAUGUGCCAAAAAGAAAAGAAAGUCAUUUACAACUAGAGUAUUUCUGACAACUGCUAUAGCAGGGUGCACACCUCAACGAGAGUUUUAAGCAUAUGAAUGGUGUCUGUGACGAUCCUUAUCCCUCGACGAAUAAGAAGAGCUGUGAUAGUCACGAUCACGUGAUGAAAGAUAUCUUGAUUUCUCUAGAUGUCCUGUAUUUAUGUUGGAAGAACACAAAAUUAGAAGAUCAGGUAGAGGAUAGUUAAAAUUGUUUACAACUACGAAAUUAGUGAUACAGAAGUAUGUGCUUCAGAACUAGGCCGACCAACCAAUGAAACUUAACAGCUAACCUGAAUCUUUUCCUCUAUCCUUUGAACGAUGACUUCGAUCCUUGGAUUUAUCUCUGUCCCUCUCAGCCUCCUCUCGCUCUCUUUCCCUAUCAGAAUCUCUGCUCCUCUCACGAUCCUGGGCCUUUAUUCUAUCCCUCUCUCUCUCCCUGUCCCGAUCCCUAUCCCUGUCCCUGUCCUUG